rnacentral:antisense_RNA from 1 species
CACCGACAUCAGCGAUUCAUUCUGCGAACCGUGGCCGACCGCCAGAUAAGCGUUCAUACCCAGUUCGCGCAUUUGCUGUUCGCCGAUCACGCGGGUAAUGACAUUUUUUGCUGUAGCUGUCGGCCAACUGGCGCGCCUGUGACGCCAGGUAGGCGGCGUUACAGAUAUUGGGCGGCAUGUUGCCGAGAUCUUUCGC